CCCUUAGCCCGAUGUCUGACCCAUCAGCUGCCUGGGAAGUGUUUGUUCCCUGGAGCCGAACAUGUAAACCUUCGGUGAUUUCUGUGAGAUUUCUGAYGUACUGACGAGAUGCAGUUCCAAAUACUGUUCUGCGGUUUCUCUGACACUGGAAAUGUUGAUGGAACGGAUGAAAGGGAACKAGAGCUACAUUGAUAAGGAAAGCAUUUCUGGUUUCUCAAUCUUUCCCCAAAGUUCACAGAAGGGAAAAUAAGUGGGCAGAUGUUACCUGUGGUGGGUAAAGGGCAUCUGCUCGUUUGCCUGGUGAUGCUAAAGAGAAUUGAAUAGUAAUAAUCAAAAGGAUUAAAAGGACAGCUUUUGUGUGUGUGUGAUCUCCUCCUACUGGGACCUCACAAUGUCUUUGCCCAUAGAACCUACUGCUUAAAAUACCACCAGUCUUAUCAUUUAAGUUUUUUUUUUUUUUGUACCAGGGAUUGAACUCAGGGGCACUUAACCACUGAACCACACCCCCAGGUCCUUUUUAUUUUUAUUUUUUAAAAUUUGCAUUAGUUGCCUAGGGCCUCCCUAAAUUGCUGAAGCUGGCUUUGAAUUUGCAAUCCUUCUGCUUCAGCCUCCCAAGCCGCCAGGAUGACAGGCAGAUGCCACCACCCCCGGUUCAUCUUUCAAAUUUAACUUAYGAUUUCUAUUCCACGGUUAUCUUGAAUGCUGUGCUUAUUUCUUCUUCACAAGGGUCAGGAUCCCAGAGAAACUCUUAGGAUCAACCAAAUUCUGUAGAACUACGUGAACAKUUGGGUCGGGUAGCCAACAUAUAUAUGGGUGAUGCUUAAUUUUAGGGGUUGCUGGGACCAGGCUGUGUAGCCAGAUACUUGGUCAGACACUGGUCUCGAUGUUGCUGUAAAGGCGUUUGUUGGUUGUGAUUAACUUUUUAAUGGGUAGACUUUGAGUAAAGCAGACCAUCCCCCAUAUUGUGAGUGGGCCUCAUGCAAUCAGUUGAAGGUCUUCAGAGAAAAAAGGCCAGGGUCCUCAAGAAGGGAGAACUUUUGCAAGAAGACCGCCCUGGGACUCSGGACUGCAGCACCGGCACUUGCUGGAUUUCCCAGCUGCCACUCUACCCAGUGGGUUCUGAACUUGCCAGCCCCCUACACUCAUGUGAUUUAUUUCAUCCUUAAAAUAAACCUCUCUUUCUCUGGGAUCUACAGUGAGGAAGGUGGAGGUAGGAAGGGAGAGAGGGGGGACUACAUACAGGUCGCAGUGGGAGGGAGGGAUGCAAAGUGUGCCCUAACCUCCUCCAUAGAGUUCCCCCCAACUUCUGCUCUUUUUAACCCCGAACCAGCCACCGACAAGACCUUUGAGGCAAAUGUGCCGAGUUUCCAAGAACGUGAUCUGCGGGAGCCACAGAGGCCUCCCUCGCUGUCCRGUCCCUUCACCCUUGUCACAGUGACCCCAGUGAGAGGGACAAUGCAGCAGAGAAGCCUGCGCCCCGCCCCUCCUGGGACUGGACUCUCCACCUGGCUGUCACAUGGAACCUGCGCCCUUUCUCCCAGUGGGAAGGACGGUCACUCCCAACCCAAGGUGUCUCCCAGUUGCCCCGCACAGCUGCGCUCUCAGCGCACCCCAGAGCUCAGACAGAUUUCAUCUUCUGGAGAUAAUCAACACAGAACCCUGAAUUUGGAAACCGUUGUCCGAUCUCCAAGAAGAUCCUUACCACGAGGGAUCGGGGGAUACAGAAUGAAGUUGCAUCGCGUGGGGAAAUGGGAGAAGCCCAGGAAUGGCAGUCGCAGCGAGAAGGGGGAGGAAGAGAAUCAGAACGCAGCAUCCUCCGAGUUGGUCGGCCCAGGGAAGGGGACACACCCCUCUUUUCAUCUGGAGGGAAAAUCCUCGACAAAAGCAAUCUCAGCUCUCUGACUUUCAGAGUCCCCAACCAAGAGAGUAGCAGCUCAGCAUGGAGCCACACAAGUUGUCCCCAGGCUGCAGAGGAUGGGGCCCGAAGGGCUCACUCAAGAGGAAGCAUCUUGGGAGAAGCUGAAUCAAAGGAUAAGAUGAGCACAUUCCCUGGGGAUGGGUAAAGGGGAGAGAGAGAGAGAGAGAGAGAGAGAGAGAGAGACUUCGAGGAUGAGCUGAGGAGACAGAAACCACAGAGAUGAGACAGGAGAGGGAUACCUCAAAGCAGAGACCUGGAAAUANNNNNNNNGAAACUUUCAAAGUCAAGAAAAUACGUUCAACAGGAGAGAGAGAGAGAGAGAGAGAGAGAGAGAGAGAGAGAGAGAGAGAGAGAGAGACUGCGAGGAUGAGCUGAGGAGACAGAAACCACAGAGAUGAGACAGGAGAGGGAUACCUCAAAGCAGAGACCUGGAAAUAAAACCUAAGAAACUUUCA
ensembl:lncRNA